GAAACCAAGCGGAGUGUCCUUUGGAGCCUCUGGACGGUGUGCAGUCGGACAGCUUGGUUUCUGUCUAAUGAAACUCAUUUCAGGCUUCUCACCUCCAGAACUUGCCUUCUGUUCUCUAAGGCUGCAGGUAUCCCCAGCAUCCCAAAUGCAGCCCCUUGACAAAUCUCCUGAUGACAUCCCCAUCCCUGAGGCCAGCACAGCUGUUGGCAUUAGUGACUUGGAGCCUGGACCUUCUUUUAGCCUCUCUGGAAGUCGCAGGAGCCUGAGAGUGAGGCCUUUGAAUGAUGCCCUGGACAGAGCUUGGAACAUGAAGGUGAAUACUGUUGUGGGGAGAAUGCAUCCCUUUGCCUGGCUCUGAGCCAGGGCCAGCUUUGGAUCCUGCUAGCCCCAUGGAUAUAGAGCACUCACUCUGUGGGGGAGGCCAGCUUUCAUGUCAUGAGGACACUCAAGUAGCCCUCUGGAGAGGCUCUCAUGGUGAGGAACUAAGGCGUUCUACCAAUAACCAUGCAGUGUGCCAUCUUGGAAGCAGAUCUUCCAGCACCAGUCCAACCUUCAGAUGACUGCAGCCCAGGCCAACAUCUUGACUGCAACUUCAAGAAAGACCCCAAGCCAUAACCACUCAGCUAAGCCAUUUCCAAUUCCUGAUUCUCAAAACCUGUAUGAGAUAAUAAAAUUGUUUGUUGUUGUUUUAACC
rnacentral:lncRNA from 1 species